GGAGGGGUGCGAGCGUUAAUCGGAAUUACUGGGCGUAAAGCGCGCGUAGGGCGGCAAGGUCAGUCGGGAUGUGAAAGCCCCGGGCUCAACCUGGGAAUUGCAUUCGAAACUGCCCUCGCUAGAGUAUGGGAGAGGGAAGCGGAAUUUCCGGUGUAGCGGUGAAAUGCGUAGAUAUCGGAAGGAACACCAGUGGCGAAGGCGACUUCCUGGCCCAAUACUGACGCUCAGGUGCGAAAGCGUGGGUAGCGAACAGGAUUAGAUACCCUGGUAGUCCACGCCGUAAACGAUGAGAACUAGAUGUCGGGAGGAUUUACCUUUCGGUGUCGCAGCUAACGCAUUAAGUUCUCCGCCUGGGGAGUACGCCGGCAACGGUA
rnacentral:rRNA from 1 species